rnacentral:rRNA from 1 species
UACAGAGGUCUCAAGCGUUGUUCGGAUUCAUUGGGCGUAAAGGGUGUGUAGGUGGCGCGCUAAGUCGGGUGUGAAAGUUUCGGAGCUUAACUCCGAAACUGCAUUCGAUACUGGCGUGCUUGAGGACUGGAGAGGAGACUGGAAUUUACGGUGUAGCAGUGAAAUGCGUAGAUAUCGUAAGGAAGACCAGUGGCGAAGGCGGGUCUCUGGACAGUUCCUGACACUGAGACACGAAGGCCAGGGGAGCAAACGGG